rnacentral:rRNA from 1 species
CCUACGGGAGGCUGCAGUGGGGAAUAUUGGGCAAUGGGCGCAAGCCUGACCCAGCAACGCCGCGUGAAGGAAGAAGGCUUUCGGGUUGUAACCUUCUUUUCUCAGGGACGAAGAAAGUGACGGUACCUGAGGACUAAGCCACGGCUAACUACGUGCCAGCAGCCGCGGUAAUACGUAGGUGGCAAGCGUUAUCCGGAUGUACUGGGUGUAAAGGGCGUGUAGGCGGGGAAGCAAGUCAGAUGUGAAAACCACGGGCUCAACCUGUGGACUGAAUUUGAAACUGUUUUUCUUGAGUACUGGAGAGGCAGACGGAAUUCCUAGUGUAGCGGUGAAAUGCGUAGAUAUUAGGAGGAACACCAGUGGCGAAGGCGGUCUGCUGGACAGCAACUGACGCUGAGGCGCGAAAGCGUGGGGAGCAAACAGGAUUAGAUACCCGUGUAGUC